UAAAAAAAAUAAUUUUUAUUUCUAUUUUAAAUCUCGAUAAAAUCAAAGUCAAAUUUGUUAUCUAAUCUCAACUUCAUUUUAUUGAUAACGAAAUAGCGUCAUAACAUCGUAAAUUUCACCGAAAAUGGUUUCGAAAACUCAUUUCUUGAUUUUUUUUAUAUUAUUUUCUUGCUAUGCAUUAUCAAAAGCUACGAUGGAUGAUGAAAUUGAAAAGCCGAAAGAAAUCGAGGAAGGUGCAAUUUCCGGAGUUGGAGUUUUAAUAUUAAUGAUACUCUUCGUGGUGUUUUGCGCCAUCGCAGCUUAUUACAUGCACAACAAGAGGAAGCUUUAUAUUCCGGUUAAAACUCGCGCGGAAGAAAAAGAUUUCGUUGUUGAAGAAGUUUUGUAAAUAAAUUUUUAUUAAUUA